UUAAACCAUGGAAUUUGAGUAUUUCAAUUGAUUAUAAGUCCAAUCAGCAAACGCGGUUUAUAAGUCGUAAUGAUCAAAUACGAUUCUUUAAGUCGUGAACACAUUUUUGUAUUUUACCUUUCCGUGACGGUGAAAGAUGUAAUGCCGGCUCAUUUUGAUUGUUUUUUAGCAAAGAUAAAAUUCCUUCUGCGGCUUCGUGAUGCGUUUUCCUUUCAGAAAAAUCCGUAGGAGUGAAAUCGCCCUCCCCUGAUUCCCCUCCAAAAUCAUUUGAUUUUAGGUAAUUCAUUAACAAUCUAUUGAUAUUAUUUCCAGCUUUGAGUUGUGAGCAUGAUUUAUAGUACGUACUUGUAUUCUUCUAUCUUUUCUUCUGUUUCCGGUUCAUUUUCUGCUUUUCCUUUUGGGUUCCUAGAUGCAUUUCUAUAUUGUCAUAUGCUUCUCUUCCCUAGGUUCCACUUUAAUGUUUCAAAUGCUCACAGUUGUCGCAGUUGCCUUUGUAUAAUGGAAGAAAUGGUAGAACUGGUGGCAGUGAAGUUAAAUAAGUGACUUACAUGACUAGCUUGUUUAUCAUAGUUUGACACUAAGUCCUAGCUUUUCGUAGAAUUUUUACUUAUGUGAUAAUUCAUGUGAUUUCUUGCAUUUACUUUGUUUUGGAUAUUAGUGCUUACAGCCUGGGGUGGAUGUAGUGUAUUACUACCGGGUACAAUUGAACUCAUAACUUUCGACGCGAAAUAAAAAUGUAUGUGUAAAAAUUUAUUAAAAUUGUAAAAAUAGUAGAUAUGAACCCAUAACUUUACAUAUAUAAUGGGUUUAAUGCUAAAACCCUUAAAAGUUAAACCCAUAGAAUUUAAUUUCUGGAUCCGCCUAUGCUUACGGUGAUUUGGAAGAUGGAAAUGGCUGAUGAUGAUAACGCACACGUUUCCCUGCACAUCCCGACCUUUCCUCUUUGAUAAUACCCCAAUUGCAGUGACUUAUAUUGAUUCAGCUUCGUGUGUUACGACUAUUGGAUUUGUGAAUGAUGACCCGAGGAACCACUUCCCGUACGAGGAAGAGAGAGAGAGAGAGAGAGAGAGAGAGAGAGAGAGAGAGAGACGAGGGCACGAGGCUAGUUUACAAACGUCGUGCAUCUCAGCCCGAGGAACCAACAAAUCCACCGCGACUAUGUAAUCCAUCACACCUCUGACUGCUGCGACCUUGCGGUGUACAUUGGAUGACACGGCAGCGAAUUUUUUAUUGUGAUUAGCUUAAUGUUAAUAUUUUGAUAGCUAAAUGUGAUCAGCUUAAUGUACAUAGGAUGACAUGAUAGCUCCUGCUUGCUGCUGUCUUGUAAUAUUACUGAAACUGAAGCUGUUGUUCAGAUUUAGUGACAGAUUAGUGUGAAAUUGGAAGCUACUGUGGAUCUGCAGUCUUUUUUUAUGUCUCUAUGUAUUUGCAGCUGGUGUUCACAGGUGGUAUAAGAAGUGAAUACAAUAUUGUACUUUGGUGUCUGUUGUUAAAGAAAUCGCAUCUAGAAUACGAUUUGUCAGUUGCAUUUUUAGAAUGCAUUUCGUAAGUUGCAUCUCCACAGUAUCUGUUUCAGUAUUUACAAAUAACAAAUAUGACCAAAUGGUCCAAAUGCUAGAUUCACUUAUGUGCAAAGUGCAAGUAAUUGUUCAUAUAGCUGUUCAACGGAAGCCUAAGAUGAACCAGAACUCAAUUGUCAAUGUUCCUGGGGCUAUUGGAACACCUUCAGAAGCUGUGUUUUUUGGGCACUGACCGGAGUUUGACAGUUUGCUAUGCUGAUUUAAUAUCUUCGAAGGAUUUGGGCCAAGUAUCACACACUGACCCACCAAGCUCCUCAGUUCACAUGCCACAAGUAGCAUUUCUGCAUCGUCAAUUCCAAUGUUGCAGCAAGCACAACAGCCACAGCAUGUUUCACAGAUGCACCCCCAAGUUCAUGUUUCCCAUUUUGCUAAUCUUAUGCCAUACAGUCAUUUGCUCCCCCACCUAUGUUCCUCCAAUGAGUAUGCCUGGCUAUUCUAGUAACCCAACCUAUCCGCAUUCCUCCACUGGAAGCAAUUACUUGCUGAUGCCUGGAGGUAGCUCCCAUCUUAGCACAAAUGGGCUUAAGUAUGGAAUCCAGCAAUUCAAGCCUGUCCCAACAGGAAGUACUUCAGGUUUAGGGACUUUUACUAGUCUGACUGGCUAUGCCGUUAACACUUCUGGUGUAAUUGGCAGUACGACAGGGGUUGAAGACUCAUCCCGGUUAAAGUACAAGGAUAAUAAUCUUUAUGUUCCUAAUCCGCAGAGAAAUGGAUGGAGCCCCACUUCAGCAAGAACCGAUUGAAAUGCAGCUGCUGGCUUGAGUCGUAGACCUUGGCCUACACUGAUGAAUUUCCUCGAGUUCAAAGUUGUGAGAUGGUGUGAGUUGUCAAUCUUCUGAAAUCUAAAGGCAAUGUCGCUGCUUGUAAUUUAAUCUGAUGCAGACGUGCAAGAAAUAUUGAACGAAAAUAAACACCUGAGAUGUGGAUGAAUCAAAGACAGCAUUGUAGUUUGGACUCAGGUUCAAUACGAAAACAUGCCUGGACAAUCGCCUCAUGUUGCCUAUCUGCCGUUCCACACUGGUCAUGGUUCUUUCAAUGCCGCUCCAGCUGCCGCAGAAUCAUCCCAUAUGCAAUUUCAAGGCUUGUAUCAUCCUCCACGGCCUGCCACAAUGGCAAAUCCUCAUCAUUGGGGCAGUGCCAUGGAAGGCAACAUUGGAGUUAGUGUGGCAGCAGUAACGCAGGAGCUCAAGAUGGUGCUUAUCACUUAUCAGCAACCUCAGUUGUGUCACCAGAAUUGGAAUGGCAGUUUCUGAAAUAAUAGAUGAACUAUAAAUCACAGUUAAUGAACCCCCUUUUUGAUUAACCUUUUAGCUAUAGAGCUUUCAUCAAUUUGUGGUAUGAGAAUCAGUCCUUCCAUCUUCUUCUUUUUGGUUUUGUUUUGUGACAAGGAGCUAGUUUUGUUGUUUAAUUUUUGUUUUUCUCGUGGAUUUGUAGUAGGUGGUGGGAGGUGCUGGCAUAGUUAAGUUUUACAGAUUGUUUAAUCAAGUUCUUUGAGUUUGAA